AUUGAACGCUGGCGGCAGGCCUAACACAUGCAAGUCGAGCGGCAGCGGGAAAGUAGCUUGCUACUUUUGCCGGCGAGCGGCGGACGGGUGAGUAAUGCCUGGGAAAUUGCCCAGUCGAGGGGGAUAACAGUUGGAAACGACUGCUAAUACCGCAUACGCCCUACGGGGGAAAGCAGGGGACCUUCGGGCCUUGCGCGAUUGGAUAUGCCCAGGUGGGAUUAGCUAGUUGGUGAGGUAAUGGCACACCAAGGCGACGAUCCCUAGCUGGUCUGAGAGGAUGAUCAGCCACACUGGAAUUGAGACACGGUCCAGACUCCUACGGGAGGCAGCAGUGGGGAAUAUUGCACAAUGGGGGAAACCCUGAUUCAGCCAUGCCGCGUGUGUGAAGAAGGCCUUCGGGUUGUAAAGCACUUUCAGCGAGGAGGAAAGGUCAGUAGCUAAUAUCUGCUGGCUGUGACGUUACUCGCAGAAGAAGCACCGGCUAACUCCGUGCCAGCCGCCGCAGUAAUAC
rnacentral:rRNA from 1 species